GCAGUGGGGAAUAUUGCACAAUGGGCGCAAGCCUGAUGCAGCCAUGCCGCGUGUGUGAAGAAGGCCUUCGGGUUGUAAAGCACUUUCAGCGGGGAGGAAGGCGGUGAGGUUAAUAACCUUGUCGAUUGACGUUACCCGCAGAAGAAGCACCGGCUAACUCCGUGCCAGCAGCCGCGGUAAUACGGAGGGUGCAAGCGUUAAUCGGAAUUACUGGGCGUAAAGCGC
rnacentral:rRNA from 1 species